GACGAACGCUGGCGGCGUGCUUAACACAUGCAAGUCGAGCGGUAAGGCCCUUUCGGGGGUACACGAGCGGCGAACGGGUGAGUAACACGUGGGUGACCUGCCCUUAGCUCUGGGAUAAGCCUGGGAAACUGGGUCUAAUACCGGAUAUGACUCCAUGACGCAUGUUGUGGGGUGGAAAGCCUUGUGCGGCUAGGGAUGGGCCUGCGGCCUAUCAGCUUGUUGGUGGGGUGAGGCCUACCAAGGCGACGACGGGUAGCCGGCCUGAGAGGGCGACCGGCCACACUGGGACUGAGACACGGCCCAGACUCCUACGGGAGGCAGCAGUGGGGAAUCUUGCGCAAUGGGCGAAAGCCUGACGCAGCGACGCCGCGU
rnacentral:rRNA from 1 species